AGGGCGCCGUAUCUUUACGUGGCCGUCUUCCCCGCGCGCCUUGGAUCUGGGGCAAUAUCUGAGAGGGCGUCACCAGCGUGUCGGCGCCCGCGGUUUUCUUCGGGCUGUCCCCAGGCGUCGUGCCCGCGUCCGUCACGCGCGGUGGCUUGCAGGGGCGCACCGCGACAGCCUUAAAGGAAAACCUGUUAGGGACAAGGGCUGCUGUGGGCAGCGAGGGUUAUAGACUCGUGUGUUCUGAAUUCUGGUGGGGGUAGUGAUGGACGCUGACCCAGUUCACAGAAUGAUCUGACUGGCGAAGUAAAGGUACUUGAAUUGCAGGAAAAAAAGUCAAGGUGAACUGAAGAAAAUAAGUCUUUCCCCAAAGGAGGUAGAAGAUGGGGAAGAUGAGAUAUCAGAAGCUAAGGACAAUGGCAGUAGAGAUGAGGUUCUUGCCCCUCAUAAGAAUUGCAGGAAGAAUACCACUGUCCCGGGAAAGAAAGGGGAGGAAAAGUCUCUGGCUCCUGUGUUUGCUGAGAAGUUAAUAUCACCAAGCCGGAGGGGAGCCAAGCUCAAGGACCGUGAGAGCCACCAGGAGAAUGAAGACAGGAACAGUGAGUUGGACCAGGAUGAGGAAGAUAAAGAAUCCUUCUGCAGGGGGUUCCUGUAGAGACGGGGUUUCACUGUGUUAGCCAGGAUGUUCUCGAUCUCCUGACCUCGUGAUCCACCUACCUCGGCCUCCCAAAGUGCUGGGAUUACAGGCGUGAGCCACCGCGCCUGGCUAGUUAUGUGAAUUUUAAAUCUGCUGAUCAAGAAAAAGCCUUGGAACUAAGUGAUACAAAAGUCCUUGGGUAUGAAGUUAAAGAAACCAAAGGGAAAGGAAACAAAGAUCAAAAUGCCAAAACACUUUUGAUCAAGAACCUGCCUGACAAAGUCACUCCACAUGAAUUAAAAGAAGUGUUUGAGGGUGCUUUUCAAAUCAGAUUAGUGAGCAAAGAUGGGAUGAGUAAAAGGUAUGUUUUGCACCUUGUACUGAAUAAGAAUGUAUGUCUACUGGAUACAAACAUAAUGGAAUUUCCUUACAUUCUCUCAAAUCUUUUAUGCCUGAUUUUAGAGAAGGAAAGAGUAGUUAUCCAGAUUUCUGCCAGUAGGCAUAAAAAGCCGAAGGGGACAUCAUAAAGGGACAGCCAAAACUCCUAGAAAACUGUAGUGGUGCUAUAGAGAAAUAGAGACUUCAUCUGCUACCAAGUACAAGAUUGAAGAUUGGAAUUUAUUCAUAGAUUAUGUACAUUCCGUCUUCUCUCUCCAGGGCUGACUCCACUAGAAUAAUGUACUUAGUAACUUGCUUGGACAGGUACCAAAAUAGCACAUAGAAUUGAAUUGUUAGGUUUAUGUUGUAACCAAUUAAUGAAACACUGUCCUUAGAUAUCUAGGCUUUGGUUGAGUAAGAGAGUGAAUAUGGUGAAAUUAGAGAGGGUGGAGUAUAAUAUAUUUUGAAGGGAUUGUCAUUCAGGUGAAAAUUGAAUAUUGGGUUUACAGAUACAUUUGAGCUAAAUGUGUUGGUAUAGGUGAACUCUAAAAUAAUCUGUAGCAGUAUGUUCUGAUGAACAUAAUCUCUAGAAACAAUACUACAGAUCUAACAAGCAUAAGAUAGAACUGUAUGUAUUGACCUGGAAAGCCAUGAUAAAUAUGGGAAAACAAAUUUGAAAGAAUAAAUUCCAAAUUGUUAGCAGUGUUUACUAGGAGGAGAUUUGGGAGCACUCUGCCUAUAGUCUCCAGAAAACCAGCAAACAAGUUCCUGCCAAAAGCUAUAUAAUUUCUCAAAGUUUAAUUAGGUUUUAAUUAAAUAUACUUAAAUCUUUGUAAUCAUUUCUCUACCUGAAGAAUUACUGUAUCACUUCUCAGCCUUUUGGCUAAGAUCGAGUGUAGUAUCUGUUUUUUCAGUUUAAUAUCUGAUAUGUCCUAAAUUAAAAAUAAUAAAAAAUAAAUAAAGGGGAGAUAAGAGAAACCAGAGACUCCAUGGCCAUGUGAAAUAAAGCAUAGUACCUAUGCCAGAAAAGAGUGUGGUGCAGGCUGGGCAUGGUGGCUCAUGCCUGUGAUCCCAGCACUUUGGGAAGCCGAGGCUGGCGGAUCAUGAGGUCAGGAGAUUGAGACCAUCCUGGCCAACAUGGUGAAACCCCGUCUGUACUAAAAUACAAAAAAAUUAGCUGGGCGUUGUGGCGCGCUCCUGUAGUCCCAGCUACUUGGGAGGCUGAGGUAGGGGAAUUGCUUGAACCCGGGAGGCAGAGGUUGCAGUGAGCCAAGAUUGGGCCACUGCACUCCAGUCUGGUGACAGAAUGAGACUCCAUCUCAAAAACAAAACAAAACAAAAACAACAACAGAAUGUGGUGCAUUAUGUUUAAGAAUCUGACUCAAGACCAGGCACGGUGGCUCAUGCCUAUAAUCCCAGCACUUUGGGAGGCCGAGGCGGGGGGGAUCACCUGAGCUCAGAAGUUUGAGACCAGCCUGGCCAACGUGGUAAAACUCUGUCUCUAUUAAAAAUACAGAAGAUUAGCCAGUCAUGGUGGUACACACCUGUAAUCCCAGCUACUCAGGAGGCUGAGACAGGAGAAUCAUUUCAAGCCGGGAGGUAGAGGUUGCAGUGAGCAGAGAUCGUGCCACUUCACUCCAGCCUGGGCAACGAGCAAAACUCUGUCUCAAGAAGAAAGAAUCUGACUCGAUAUGUCCUUAUUCAUACCUUUCACCAAAUUAAAUUAAAGGUUCAUUAGAGAUUUCGUGUAAAAUAUGAAAUCAUAAAGUAUUAGAGGAAGACAUAGAGAAUAUUUUUGGGUUUUGUUUUAAUAAUCUUCAGGAGAGGAAGGCCUUUUGAAGUAUGACACAAUCCUGGAAGUCCCAAAAGAAAAGAUAUAUAAAUUUGGCUAGGCACAAUGACUCACACCUGUAAUUCCAGCACUUUGGGAGGCCGAGGCGGGUGGAUCACCUGAGGUUAGGAGUUCCAGACCAGCCUGGCCAACAUGGUGAAACCCUGUCUCUACUAAAAAUAAAAAAAAAUUAGCUGAGCAUGAUGGUGGGCGCCUGUAAUCUCAGCUACUCGGGAGGCUGAGGCAGGAGAAUCGCUUGAACCUAGGAGGUGGAGGUUGCAGUGUGCUGAGAUCAUGCCACUGCACAACAGCCUGGGUGACAAGAGUGAGGGAAACUCUGUCUCAAAAAAAAAAAAAAAGAUAUAUAAAUUUGACUGCAGAAAUGUAUUUUUACACGGAGGAAAAAAAAAUCCCCAUAAGCAAAGUCAAAAGACAAGUGACAAACCAGGGAAAAAUAUUGGUAACUCAUCAAAACUGAAGACUGGUUUUACUGAUAUAAAAGUGCACCAGAGGCCAGGUGCGGUGGCUCACGCCUGUAAUCCCAGCGCUUUGGGAGGCCGAGGCAGGCGGAUCACCUGAAGUCGGGAGUUUGAGACCAUCCUGGCUAACAUGGUGAAACCCCAUCUCUACUAAAAAUACAAAAAAUUAGCCAGGCAUGGUGGUAUGCGCCUGUAAUCCCAGCUACUCAGGAGGCUGAGGCAGAAGAAUCGCUUGAUCCCGGGAGGCAGAGGUUGCAGUGAGCCGAGAUCGCGCCACUGUACUCCAGCCUGGGCGACAAAGCAAGACUGCCUCUGAAAAAAAAGUGCACCAGGCCAGGCAUGGUGGCUCACGCCUGUAAUCCCAGCACUUUGGGAGGCUGAGGCAGGUGGAUCACCUGAGGUCAGGAGUUCGAGACCAGCCUGGUCAACAUGGUAAAACCCUGUCUCUACUAAAAAUACAAAAAAUUAGCCAGGCAUGGUGGCAGGCACCUGUAGUCCCAGCUACUCGGGAGGCUGAGGCACGAGAAUCACUUGAACCCGGGAGGCGGAGGUUAGUGAGCCGAGAUUGCACCAUUGCACUCCAACCUGAGCAACAAGAGUGAAACUCCAUCUUAAAAAAUAAUAAUAAAUAAAUAAAAAUAAAGCAUGUCCCCGCGAUGAAACCUUCUGAAGGCCAGGUGUGGUGGCUCACGCCUGUAAUCCCAGCACUUUGGGAGGCCAAGGUGGGCAGAUCACCUAAGGUCAGGAGUUCCAGACCAGCCUGGCCAGCAUGGUGAAACCCUGUCUCUACUAAAAACAGAAAAAAUUAGCCAGGCGUGGUGGCGGGCACCUGUAAUCCCAGCUACUCGGGAAGCUGAGGCAGGAGAAUCGCUUGAACCUGGGAGGCAGAGGUUGCAGUGAGCCGAGAUCGCGCCAUUGCACUCCAGCCUGGGCGACAGAGCAAGACUCCAUCUCAAAAAUAAAUAAAUAAAUAAAAUAAAAGUGCAUCUAACAAAUGAGUAAGAAAAAUACCAACACUUUAGGGGAAAUACAGGCAGGCUACAGACAGACAGGAACGGAGUUUUAAGCAUAGGAAAAGAUACUCAUCCUCACUCAUAGUAAAACAAUUUAAAAUAAAAUCUACACUGAGAUACAACUUUUUACCUAUCAAGUAGUCACAGAUAGAAAGGUUUGUUAGCACAGUGGAGAAGAGGGUAAAGAAACUGGCAUGCUCAUACUUUGUUAUUGGAAGUGAAAUUGGAGAAAUCUCUAUGGAGAUUAGGUACUUAGCCAUAGCUACCAAAGUUAGUUGCAGUUACCAUUUUAUCUUGCAGUUCCACUCCUAAGAAUUUAUCCUACAGAUAGUCUCAGACAAGUGUGAAAUAAUGUAUUGCAAAGUUGUUUGAUGCAAAAUUAGAAUUAACCUGAAUAUCAAGCAACAGGUGGUUAAAAUUGUCUGGCCGAUCCAUAAGAUAUUUUUCUAUAUAGCUGUAAAAAGGAAUGAAAUCGCAUUUUGUGUACUGAAGGGAAAUAAUCUCCAGUAUACAUUAUUAAGUGAAAAAAGACAAAGUGUGUAUUAAGUGAAAAAAGACAGUGUGUACAGUAUUCUGCCUUUUAUGUAAAAACAUAAUGGAGAACACACUGUACACAAAAAAUAACUCAACAUGGAUCAAAGACCUAAAUCUAAGAGCUAAAACAUAAAAUCCUUAGAAGAAAACACACUUUGUGCACGACGAUUAAAGAAAAUUGAGAAGUUGGGCUUAAUCAAAAUAAAAAAUGUUUGUGUUUCAAAGGCCAUAUUUAAAAAGUCAAAAGAAAAUCUGUAGACUGGGCCGGGCAUGGUGGCUCACGCCUGUAAUCCCAGCACUUUGGGAGGCCGAGGCGGGCGGAUCACGAGGUCAGGAGAUCGAGACCAUCCUGGCUAAGAUGGUGAAACCCCGUCUCUACUAAAAAUACAAAAAAAGUUAGCCGGGCGAGGUGAUGGGCGCCUGUAGUCCCAGCUACUCGGAAGGCUGAGGCAGGAGAAUGGCGUGAACCUGGGAGGCGGAGCUUGCAGUGAGCCGAGAUAGUGCCACUACACUCCAACCUGGGCGAUAGAGCGAGACUCCUCAAAAAAAAAAAAAAAAGAAAAAGAAAAUCUGUAGACUUGCCGGGCACAGUGGCUCACGCCUGUAAUCCCAGCACUUUGGGAGGCCAAAGUGGGUGGAUCACCCGAGGUCAGGAGUUAGAGACCAGCCUGGCCAACAUGGCAAAACCCCGUCUCUACUAAAAUACAAAAUUAGCCAGGCGUGGCGGUGAGCGCCUGUAAUCCCAGCUACUUGGGAGACUGAGGCAGGAGAAUCGCUUGAACCUGGGAGGUGGAGAUUGCAGUGAGCCGAGAUUGCGCCAUUGCACUCCAGCCUGGGCAACAAGUGAAACUCCGUCUCAAAAAAAAAGAAAAAAGAAAAAAUCUAUAGACUGGAAGAAAAUAUUUGCAAAUCAUAUAUCUGAUAAGGGACUUGUGUCCAGAUAUAUAAAGAACUCAUAUUACAAUUCAACAAUAAAAAGGCAACCCAAUUAAAAAAUGGGCAAAGGAUUUGAAUGGACGUUUCUCCAAACGAGGCAUAUGAAUGGCCGAUAAGCAUGCAAAAAGAUGCUCAACAUUAGUUGUUAGGGAAAUGCAAAUCAAAACCAUGAUGUGAUACACUUCACAUUCAUUAGAAUGGCUAGAAUAAAGACGGCAAACAGUAACAAAUGUUGACAAGGAUGUGGAAAAGGUGGAGCCCUCAUAUGUUGCUGGUGGGAAUGUAAAAUAAUGCAGUUGCUUUGGAGAAGUUUGAUAGUUUCUCAAAAUGUUAAACAUAGAAUUGCCAUAUGGUCUAGAAAUUCUCUUAAGUAUCUACCUCAAAGAAAAGAAAACAUAUGUUCACACUCUCCUGCAAAUGUUCAUGUCAGCAUUAUUUAAUAGUCAAAAAGUAGAAAUGACCCAAAAUGUCUGUCAGUUGAUGGAUUGAUAAAGUAUGGUAUGUCAUUCUGUAUAUGAUAUGUCCAGUAUAGCCAAAUCUAUAUAAACAGAAACUAGAACAGUAGUUGCUUGUGGCUUGGAGUGAGAAUGGGUUGGGAGGAAUGAGGAGUGACUGUCGAUGGGUACUUUCGGGGACAAUACAAAUGUUCCAAAUUUAGUUUACAAUGAUGAUUGUACAGUUGUGUAAACGUAUUAGAAACCAUUGUAAAGUUUAAAUGGGUGGAUUUUAUGAUAUGUAAAUUAUAUCUCAAGCUUUUUAAGAAAAAUUGUGUGUGCAUAUACAUUUGCUUUUAUAUACACAGAAUGUUGCCUCUAUGGUUAGAAAUUGGGUGGCCUGGAAUAGGAAUAUAAGGAAGACUACACCAUAUCCUUUUUUUUUUUUUUUCCUUUUUCUACAUGUUCUAAACCAUAUGCUUUUCUACUUUUUGGAUUUUGAAUCUUGUAUAUUACUGAUUCAGAAGACAAAUAACUGUCUGUGGCCCUAAAUGCUGACUGUUCUUCUCUCCCUCACCUCAUCCCCACAAUUGCAGGAUUGCAUAUAUUGAAUUCAAGUCACAAGCUGAGGCAGAGAGAGCCUUGGAAGAAAAGCAGGGAACAGAGACUGAUGGGCUUGCCGUAGUUCUCGACCAUAUUGGAGAGAAAAGCCAGGGCCAAGAAACUAGAGAUAGAAAGAACAGCACCUGGAGAGGUGAGGGGUCCCAGAGCUCUGAGGAUUGAGAUUUACCAGGGUUGUCACAGGUGGAUCCCAAGGGAUCCUCUGGUACGAGGUUAGGGGCACUCGGCACUUUAUUUUUUUAUUAUUAUUUUGAGACAGGGUCUCACUCCCUUCGCCCAGGCAGGAGCGCAGUGGCACAAUCAUGGCUUGCGGCAGUCUCGAUUUCCUGGGUUCAGGUGAUCCUCCUACCUCAACCUCCCGAGUAGCCAGACUACAGAUGGGAAGGCCACUCAGCACUUUAUUUUUUAUUUUAUUUUUAUUUAUUUAUUUUUUUAGAUGGAGUCUCGCUCUGUCGCCCAGGCUGGAUUGCAGUGGCACAGUCUCGGCUCACCGCAACCUCUGCCUCCCAGGUUCAAGCAAUUCUCCUGCCUCAGCUUCCCGAGUAGCUGGGAUUACAGGUGCCCGCCACCACACCUGGCCGAGAUCACACCACUGCACUCCAGCCUGGGUAACAGAGCCAGACCUCUUGUCUCAAAACAAAAAAAAGGAAACCCAUCAGUUUAUUUUUUCUUUUUUGGGCACCCUCUAGGAUUUUGUUUGAACAAGCUCUUAUAUCUGUGGUUUCAGAAUUAGAUAUUUAAUUCUCUUCAGAUAUUAAUUUUCUUCAAGUAGUGUUUUUGCAGGUUUAAACAAGUGACCCCAAACCAGUGUCCCUAAUUUGCCUUAUCUGAUCGGCAAACAUGUUGGCUUAUUCUGUAAGAGACCAUUGAAUUUAUUAUGAGUAUUUCAAAAAAUCAAAAAAUUUCACAUAAACCCCUGGAUUUCCAGCUUCUUUUGAUACAACAGAAAAUCUGCCCAGGUGCAGUGGUUCACACUUGUAAUCCCAGCACUUUGGGAGGCUGAGGUGGGUGGAUCGCUUGAGCCCUGGAGUUCAAGACCAGCCGGGGCAACAUGGAGAGACCCCAUCUGUAAAAAACAAAAAACAAAAAACAAAAAAACAAAAUUAGCUGGGUGUGGCGUUGCAUACCUGUAGUCCUAGCUAACUCAGGAGACUGAGGUAGGAGGAUUGCCUGAGCCUGGGAGGUCGAGGCUACAGUGAGCCAUGAUGGUGCCACUGCACUCCAGCCGAGGGGACAGAGUGAGACCCUAUCUGUCUCAAAGAAAAAGGAAAGAAAAUGCAGCCAUGGUGGCACCGUGGCUGCAUUCCCACAUGGCAGCAGUUGGCUGGUGAUGAGAAGUAGCUGCUUCCUUUUAGGUGUGGCCUUUGCUCUUGUUUGCUGGUAACCCCCACAGUUGCUGAGGGUCUCCCCACCAACAGCGGUGGGAACAGCACAACACUUGCACUUUUAAACAUAGAGUUAAUACUUUUUUCUUAGAAAAUAGCCCUUUUUUUUAUAGUAAAGAUGACAUGGCUGGGCAUGGUGGCUCAUGCCUGUAAUCCCAACACUGGGAGGCUGAGGAGGGCAGAUGAUGAGGUCAGGAGUUCGAAACCAGCCUGGCCGGCACGGUGAAACCCCGUCUCUAACAAAAAUUAGCCGGGUAUGAUGGCACAUACCUGUAAUCCCAGCUACUCAGGAGGCUGAGGCAGGAGAAUUCCUUGAACUCGGGAGGUGGAGGUUGCAGUGAGCCAAGAUCGCACCACUGCACUCCAGCCCAGGCGACAGAGCGAAACUCUGUCUCGGGGGAAAAAAUAAAAGGAUGACAUUUUAAUAUUUCUUAUGCAUUUGUCUCUUCCACAAGUGGAAAGACAAAGUAUAGAACAAGACAUCCACACUUUUCAAGAAAAAUGGGAGAGAGCCUAUUUUUUUUGUGGAAGUAAAGAAUGUUCCUACAUGUUUAAUAUGCAAAGUCUGUCUGUGUUGAAAGAGCAUACCCUAAGACACCAUUAUGAAACAAACCAUAGCAAGAACCACGAUGGAUAUACAGAAAAGAUGCGUGACAAAAAACUUAACGAACUGAAAAAAAGACUGAGAUUUUAACAUGACUUGCUUUUGAAUGUGAAUAAAAUAGGUGAUGCUGCUGUGGAGUGUAGUUGUAUAUUAAGUGAGAAAAUUGCCCAGGCAUCAAAACCUUUUACAGAUGGGGAGUUUAUAAAAGAAUGCUUGUUGAAUGCAGCAGAAAUUAUGUGCCCUGAACAGAGACAGCAUUUGCAAAUAUAAGACUAACUGGUAAUAUUAUUGCUCAGCAUGUUGAUGAUAUGGCUGAAAACUUACAGGACAGGUUUCAAGAAAAAGUGAAAUCAUUUGUGGCUUUCUCUGUGGCAGCUCAUGGGAACACUGAUAUAAAUAAUGCUCCCCAGUUGGCUGUGUUCAUUCGUGGUGUUGAUGAAACUUUUGAUGUGACCGAAGAACUUUUAGAUAUGGUACCCAUAACAGGCACAGCAUCAGGAAAUGACAUAUUUUUAUGUGUUGAGAAAAGUCUUAAAAAAUUUAAUGUAGACUGGUCAAAAUUAGUAAGUGUUAGCACAGAUGGUAAUUCUGCAAUGGUUGGUGUUAAACAACUUGUUACAAAACUAAAUCUAAGGUGGCAGGGCUUUGCAAAGGCACAGAACUUAAGUGUGUGCAUGGCCUCAUUCUCCAGGAAUCACUUUGUGCUAAAAAGUUAAAAAUGGAUCACGUCAUGGACAUAGUAAUUUACAGCAUAACCUGGAUACAUUCCCAUGGCUCAACCCACAGAAAGUUCAACACUUUGUUCAGUGAGUUAGAUGCACAAUAUGGAAGCCUGUUCUGUGACAUGGAAGUGAAGUGGCUGAGUUGUGGUAUGGUGCUAAAGCAGUUUUUUGAACUGUUGGAAGAAAUUGACUUUUUCAUGUCCUCUAAAGGAAAAUCUGUGCCUCAGCUCACUAGCAAAAAUUGGGUCAAAGACAGCCUUUUUGAUUGACAUUACAACACAUCUAAAUACAUUGGAUAUUUCUCUGCAAAGACAUUCACAAGUGGUUACACAAAUCUAUGAUUCAAUUCACUAAUUCCUAGCAAAAUUGUGUCUUUGGGAAACUCAUUUGACAAGGAACAAUCUGGCCCACUUCCUUACACUGAAAUUAGUUUCUGAAAAUGAAAGCGAUGGCCUGAACUAUAUUCCAAAAAUUAAAGAAUUGAAGACUGAAUUCCAAAAAAGAUUAUCUGAUUUCAAACUUUAUGAAAAUGAACUGAUAUUGUGCAGUUCACCUUUCUUGAUGAAUAUUAAUCAUGUGAAUGCAGAGCUGCAAAUGGAAGUUAUUGAAUUGCAGUGCAACACUAUACUGAAAACUAAAUAUGAUGAUGUGCGAAUCCCAGAAUUCUACAAAUUCCUAGGUAAUGGUUACCCUAAAUAUAAAAAACAUUGUGCGAAGAUUCUGUGCAUGUUUGGAAAUACCUAUGUUUAUGAGCAGCUAUUUUCUCUUAUGAAGCUAAGUAAAACUAAAUAUUGCUCCCAGUUAAAGGAAAGAUGAAUUCUCUGCUGCACGUUGCUAUACAAGAUUCACAACCUGACGCUGAUUGAUAUCUUGGGCCCUAAGAAAGGAAUGUUAGAUUUCAGAUUUCAAAUCUGAGAAGUAAUAAAUUACGAAACUUGGGAUAAUUAUUUCUAUUUUCAAAUGAUAUUUUUUCAAUAUGAAGUUUAGAGUACAAUCUCUGGCAUUAUAUAUGUUUGUUAAAUCUUAUACCAUAUAAAAUAAAGUUGGAUUAUACUUUU